rnacentral:rRNA from 1 species
UUCCUACGGGAGGCAGCAGCCGCGGUAAUACGUAUGGAGCAAGCGUUAUCCGGAUUUACUGGGUGUAAAGGGAGAGUAGGUGGCAGAGCAAGUCCGAAGUGAAAACCCAAAGCUCAACUAUGGGAAUGCUUUAGAAACUGCUCAGCUAGAGUGCAGGAGAGGCAAGUGGAAUUCUUAGUGUAGCGGUGAAAUGCGUAGAUAUUAGGAGGAACACCAGUGGCGCAGGCGGCUUGCUGGACUGUAACUGACACUGAGGCUCGAAAGCGUGGGGAGCAAACAGGAUUAGAUACCCCAGUAGUCCAAAG